rnacentral:rRNA from 1 species
AGACAAGAAGGCAUCUUCUUGUUUUUAAAAGACCUAGCAAUAGGUAUGCUUAGGGAGGAGCUUGCGUCACAUUAGUUAGUUGGUGGGGUAAAGGCCUACCAAGACUAUGAUGUGUAGCCGGGCUGAGAGGUUGAACGGCCACAUUGGGACUGAGACACGGCCCAAACUCCUACGGGAGGCAGCAGUAGGGAAUUUUCGGCAAUGGAGGAAACUCUGACCGAGCAACGCCGCGUGAACGAUGAAGUAUUUCGGUACGUAAAGUUCUUUUAUUAGGGAAGAAUAAAUGAUGGAAAAAUCAUUCUGACGGUACCUAAUGAAUAAGCCCCGGCUAACUAUGUGCCAGCAGCCGCGGUAAUACAUAGGGGGCAAGCGUUAUCCGGAAUUAUUGGGCGUAAAGGGUGCGUAGGCGGUUAAAUAAGUUUAUGGUCUAAGUGCAAUGCUCAACAUUGUGAUGCUAUAAAAACUGUUUAGCUAGAGUAAGAUAGAGGCAAGUGGAAUUCCAUGUGUAGUGGUAAAAUGCGUAAAUAUAUGGAGGAACACCAGUAGCGAAGGCGGCUUGCUGGGUCUUUACUGACGCUGAGGCACGAAAGCGUGGGGAGCAAACAGGAUUAGAUACCCUGGUAGUCCACGCCGUAAACGAUGAGUACUAAACGUUGGGUAAAACCAGUGUUGAAGUUAACACAUUAAGUACUCCGCCUGAGUAGUACGUACGCAAGUAUGAAACUUAAAGGAAUUGACGGGACUCCGCACAAGCGGGGAUCAUGUUGUUUAAUUCGAAGGUACCCGAAAAACCUCACCAGGUCUUGACAUGCUUCUGCAAAGCUGUAGAAACAUAGUGGAGGUUAUCAGUGGCACAGGUGGUGCAUGGUUGUCGUCAGCUCGUGUCGUGAGAUGUUAGGUUAAGUCCUAAAACGAGCGCAACCCCUUUUGUUAGUUACCAGCACGUAAUGGUGGGGACUUUAGCGAUACUGCCAAUUAAAAAUUGGAGGAAGGUGGGGAUGACGUCAAAUCAUCAUGCCCCUUAUGACCUGGGCUACAAACGUGAUACAAUGGCCGUUACAAAGAGUAGCUGAAGCGCGAGUUCUUGGCCAAUCUCAAAAAAACGGUCUCAGUUCGGAUUGAAGUCUGCAACUCGACUUCAUGAAGCUGGAAUCGCUAGUAAUCGCGAA